AGCUCCAAUAGCGUAUAUUAAAGUUGUUGCAGUUAAAAAGCUCGUAGUCGGACUUCAGGGAGGUAGAAGCUCGGUCUGCCGAGACGGUGUGUACUAGCUUCUUCCCCCUUCCUUCCAGUAUGCCACCUUCUGCUCUUAAGUGAGUGGGGGGUUAAAAAAAGGGUGGCAGUGUAACGCAGGGGAAUAACCUUUCUCUGUUUGUUUACUGUUAUCUAAUAGGCUCUGGAUCGUUUACUUUGAAAAAAUUAGAGUGUUUAAAGCAGGCCCUUUGUGCCUUGAAUACAUUAGCAUGGGAUAAUAGAAUAGGACCGAUCUCCUAUUUUGUUGGUUUCUAGGGGAUUCAGUAAUGAUUAAUGGAGAUGGUUGGGGCGAUUCAUAUUUAAUUGUCAGAGGUGAAAUUCUUGGAUUUAUGAAAGAUGAACUGGUGCGAAAGCGUCUCGCAAGGACGUUCUCA
rnacentral:rRNA from 1 species